CCUACGGGAGGCAGCAGUGAGGAAUUUUGCGCAAUGGCCGCAAGGCUGACGCAGCAACGCCGCGUGGGUGAUGAAGGCCUUCGGGUCGUAAAGCCCUGUCAGGUGGGAAGAAAGGCCUUAAUAAGAAACGGUUGAGGUUUGACGGUACCACCAGAGGAAGCACCGGCUAACUCCGUGCCAGCAGCCGCGGUAAU
rnacentral:rRNA from 1 species